UAGUCCCCAGGGGAGCUCCAGGACACUGUGUCCAGGUUCUAGUUCCCAACCCCCAACCCCCCACCCCACCCACAUCCUUCCUGCUGCUGGCAGGUGGGCUGGGUCAUUCCGUCAGACCAGCUUCCUGACACGCCCAGACCUCACGGGCCCCAGCAGCUGCUCCCGGGGCCCAGGCAAGGGUAGCUGGCCUUUCUUGGGUCAGGUACCCCUUCCGGGGCUGUGCUGGGGGUGCGAGUGUCAUUGACCUGUGAGGUUCUGGAUGAGAGAAGAGCCUGCAAGGGAAGCAAAUGGUUCCCUGGGGUCAGGACAUUGUCCUCGAGGAAAGCAUCUAUGUACGGAUCAAAGAUCCACAUUCCGUGAGAGCAGAAGAAAAGCGCAUGCGACUACAUCAGUGUAUAGCAGGAAGUGUUUCAGUAAAGUCACUUCAUUCAUAAAAAGAAAGGCCUGGUUGGGGAGGUGCCUGUCCUCCCUGGGGACACUGUUGCCACUGCGGGAUUGGCUGGGUGCUGUCCCCCACCUCCCUGGUUCCCUCCCCAGCCCUAAGGGGUCCAGUCCUUCAAAAGGACCCUCAUGAUUCCAUCAGGCUUCCCAGGUGGCUCAAGAAUCUGCCUGCCAACGCAAGAGACACAGGAGAUGCAGGGAUCAAACCCAGGUCUCCUGCAUUGCAGGCGGGUUCUUUACUGACUAAGGCAGCGGGGAAGCCCCUGUUGCAUGCAUAUGUACCCCAGUUACUGCUUUGCCAUUCUGGGCCCACUACUUACUCAUCUGCAAAAUGGGUUCAUGAGACAAAAUGCUCUGGGCUUCAAAGAGCUUCUGUGAGCGAAGAUGUUUGUGAGGUCCUGGGCCUCCUCUGAGCUCAGGACAAGGCUCUCUGGGCGGGCUCUGGCUGUCUCUCCUCCCUGGGUCCUCCUGACCACACUCACCUCUCCUACAGCCACCAGCAGCUCCUCACAGGAGAGGGGAGAGUUGCCCAGCACACUGCGGGAAGGAGUACCCCCAGCUGGAGACCUUGGGGUCAGGCCCCC
ensembl:lncRNA